AGGAAUAUUGGUCAAUGGGCGCGAGCCUGAACCAGCCAAGUAGCGUGAAGGAUGAAGGUCCUACGGAUUGUAAACUUCUUUUAUAAGGGAAUAAAGUCAUCUACGUGUAGGUGUUUGUAUGUACCUUAUGAAUAAGCAUCGGCUAACUCCGUGCCAGCAGCCGCGGUAAUACGGAGGAUGCGAGCGUUAUCCGGAUUUAUUGGGUUUAAAGGGAGCGUAGACGGGUCGUUAAGUCAGCUGUGAAAGUUUGGGGCUCAACCUUAAAAUUGCAGUUGAUACUGGCGUCCUUGAGUACGGUUGAGGCAGGCGGAAUUCGUGGUGUAGCGGUGAAAUGCUUAGAUAUCACGAAGAACCCCGAUUGCGAAGGCAGCUUGCUAAACCGCCACUGACGUUGAGGCUCGAAAGUGUGGGUAUCAAACAGGAUUAGAUACCCUGGUAGUCCACACGGUAAACGAUGGAUACUCGCUGUUGGCGAUAGACUGUCAGCGGCUUAGCGAAAGCGUUAAGUAUCCCACCUGGGGAGUACGCCGGCAACGGUGAAACUCAAAGGAAUUGACGGGGGCCCGCACAAGCGGAGGAACAUGUGGUUUAAUUCGAUGAUACGCGAGGAACCUUACCCGGGCUUGAAUUGCAGACGAAUUGCUUGGAAACAGGCAAGCCGCAAGGCGUCUGUGAAGGUGCUGCAUGGUUGUCGUCAGCUCGCGCCGUGAGGUGUCGGCUUAAGUGCCAUAACGAGCGCAACCCUCGUGUCCAGUUACUAGCAGGUUAUGCUGAGGACUCUGGACAGACUGCCAUCGUAAGAUGUGAGGAAGGUGGGGAUGACGUCAAAUCAGCACGGCCCUUACGUCCGGGGCUACACACGUGUUACAAUGGGGGGUACAGAAGGCAGCUACCGGGCGACCGGAUGCCAAUCCCGAAAGCCUCUCUCAGUUCGGACUGGAGUCUGCAACCCGACUCCACGAAGCUGGAUUCGCUAGUAAUCGCGCAUCAGCCACGGCGCGGUGAAUACGUUCCCG
rnacentral:rRNA from 1 species